GAUGAACGCUAGCUACAGGCUUAACACAUGCAAGUCGCGGGGCAGCAUUUCCUUAGCUUGCUAAGGAAGAUGGCGACCGGCGCACGGGUGAGUAACGCGUAUCCAACCUUCCCAUGUCCACGGGAUAGCCCGUCGAAAGGCGGAUUAAUACCGUAUGAGGUCACAUGCGGGCAUCUAAGUGUGACGAAAGGUUUAGCGGACAUGGAUGGGGAUGCGUCCGAUUAGCUUGUUGGCGGGGUAACGGCCCACCAAGGCGACGAUCAGUAGGGGUUCUGAGAGGAAGGUCCCCCCACAUUGGAACUGAGACACGGUCCAAACUCCUACGGGAGGCAGCAGUGAGGAAUAUUGGUCAAUGGGCGAAAGCCUGACCCAGCAACGCCGCGUGAAGGAAGAAGGCCUUGGGUUGUAACUUACUUUAAGUAGGGACGAAGGACGUGACGGUACCUCUUGAAUAAGCCACGGCUAACUACGUGCCAGC
rnacentral:rRNA from 1 species